AGGGCAAUAGUGUAAUGGCCGCACGCCGGAACGGGAUGUUCCGGAAGCGCAGGUUCGAGUCCUGCUUGCUCUUCCA
rnacentral:tRNA from 1 species